CCUACGGGAGUCAGCAGUGGGGAAUAUUGGGCAAUGGAGGCAACUCUGACCCAGCAACGCCGCGUGAAUGAUGAAGGUCUUCGGAUUGUAAAGUUCUGUGAUGGGGGAUGAAAAGAAUGACGGUACCCCAAUAGCAAGCCACGGCGAACUACGUUCCAGCAGCCGCGGUAUUACGGCUGUGGCAAGAGUUCUCAGGAAUGACUGGGCGUAAAGGUUGCGUGGGUGGUCUAGUAAGUUCGCGGGAUAAUUCCGGGGCUCAACCUCGGCGCUACCGCCAAAACUAGUAGACUAGAGUGCAGGAGGGGUAAGUGGAAUUCCUGGUGUAGCGGUGGAAUGCGUAGAUAUUAGGAGGAACAUCAGGGGCGAAGGCGACUUACUGGACUGUAACUGACACUGAGGCACGAAAGCGUGGGGAGCAAACAGGAUUAGAUACCCUGGUAGUC
rnacentral:rRNA from 1 species